rnacentral:rRNA from 1 species
UUAUUGGGCCUAAAACGUCCGUAGCCGGUUUGGUACAUUCGUGGGUAAAUCAGACAGCUUAACUGUCUGAAUUCUGCGAGGACGGCCAAACUUGAGACCGGGAGAGGUGUAGGGUACCUGCGGGGUAGGGGUAAAAUCCUGUCAUCCCGUAGGGACCACCAGUUGCGAAGGCUCUACACUAGAACGGAUCUGACGGUCAGGGACGAAGCCUAGGGGCACGAACCGGAUUAGAUACCCGGGUAGUCCUAGGUGUAAACGCUGUGGACUUGGUGUUGGGGAUUCUCCGAGGAUCUUCAGUGCCGAAGCGAAGGUGAUAAGUCCACUGCCUGGGGAGUACGGUCGCAAGGCUGAAACUUAAAGGAAUUGGCGGGGGAGCACCGCAACCUGAGGAUUGUGCGGUUUAAUUGGAUUCAACGCCGGAAAACUCACCAGAGCCGACGGACAAAUGAAAGCCAGUGUGAUGAGCUUGCUGGAUUGUUCGAGAGGUAGUGCAUGGCCGUCGUCAGUUCGUACCGUAAGGCGUUCUGUUAAGUCAGAUAACGAACGAGACCCUCAUCCCUAUUUGCUAAGGUUACUCCGGUAAUCACAGGACUAUAGGGAGACCGCUGGCGCGAAGUCAGAGGAAGGCGAGGGCAACGGUAGGUCAGUAUGCUCCGAAUGCUCUGGGCUACACGCGCAAUACAAAGGACGGGACAAUGGGCCGCUGUACCGAAAGGACUCGGCUAUCCCGAAACCCGUUCGUAGUUCGGAUUGAGGGCUGUAACUCGCCCUCAUGAAGCUGGAUUAGGUAGUAAUCGCGUCUCAAAAAGGCGCGGUGAAUAUGCCCCUGCUCCUUGCACACACCGCCCGUCAAACCAUCUUAGUUGGGGGUGGGUGAGGCUGCCUUUUAGUGGGGUAUUCGAGCCUGCCUUCGACAAGGAGGGUUAAGUCGUAACAAGGUAUCUGUA